rnacentral:lncRNA from 1 species
GAGCCGGGACAGGAGGUGCAGCGGGAGUUGGGGGUCUAGGUGCAGGGCCGGGAGCCGAGCGGACUGUGCCGCCUUGGGGAGGCUUGUAGACCAAAUGGAAGAUGAAGGCGUUGCAGUACCUGCAGCGGUGAGGGCGAGGGCGUGAUCAGGGCCAGGGGCCAGGCCUCCUAGCAAGUGAGGCUGCUCAGGGCACGAAAAAGCUCCAAGCUGGUGGUGGUUGGGGGCUGCUCAGCGGAUAAAAGCAUCUGCCGCUAAGCCUGGUGCCUGAGUUCGAUCCCCGGGGGUGGGGUGGGGGAAAUAAAGGAGCAUCAAUCUUUUCAGGAGCAGGGCGAGGAGUUGAGAGAUGUUGUGAGCUGGAUCUAAAAGGUUGUGUUGGAGCUUGUCCAGACUAGCAAGGGAGUGGAAAAGUAGUGAAGACAGAGAUAGAGGCUUGAAACGCUGGGGCGAAGAGGGUCCCAGGAAUACAGAGACCUUUUGGGAUGCAGAGUGUAUAAAUCGCCGGUCAGGAGACAAUAGGUGAUCUUGGGGCCUUACCAGGGCAUACAGUUGUCAGCUGCUCUAAGGCGGAAUGGGGAGCGGAAGGGGUUGGGCUGUGGCGAGCUGGUGCCCCCUCCGGUGGCCACCGCCAUAGUCUGAUCGUCCAUCACACAGCCGUACUCACUGCUCUCAGUGAAGAAUGCUGGCACUCGGAGAGACUGUGGUUUGGGUGGGCCUUCAGACACUCCCACGGGAAGUUCCUUUUCUCAGGUCCACAUCCAUCUUUUCAGUGCACACUCUCCCGGCUGGGGGCUUACCCAAAACACCAUGACGAGAUCGAAUUCCUUGCCAGCCUCCACCACGUGGAUCUUCAGGGAUUGCUUGUUCUGGAUGUUGAGCUCAGGGACUGGUGAGAGGUGAACCCAUUAAAAACUAGGGGCUCUCUUACAGCCACACCCGCACCUCCACACCCUCCAGUCCUGUCUGCACUCCUUACAGGACUGGGGUACCAGGUGGGUGAUGACAUAGUACACCGUCAGUGGGUAGGUGAGAAGCACAGCCAUGGGGGAGUCCAGGCUGAGGCCCCGCCACGUGUAGUAAUCCUGCCAUGAACCUGGGGAGAGUGCCUUGAUGGACCACCAGAUGCCAGGCCUGGACCCCCAGCCUCUAAAGCACUUCCCUCUGCUCAGGCACCAGGUUUUGUCUGCCACCCCCAUCAGGAUCUCUGUCCUAGCUCCCAGUUCUUU